rnacentral:misc_RNA from 1 species
AAGUCGUAACAAGGUUUCCGUAGGUGAACCUGCGGAAGGAUCAUUAACGAAUAACUAUGGUGUCUUGGCUGUCGCUGGCUCCUCGGAGCAUCGUGCACGCCCGCCAUUUUUAUCUAUCCACCUGUGCACCGAAUGUAGGUCUGGAUGACUCUCGUCUCCGGGCGGAUGCGAGGUUUGCGUGUGCGUAGCGUACGGGCUCACCUCGAAUUUCCAGACUCUACGUCUUUUUACACACCCCAAACGUAUGAUGCAGAAUGUAGUCAAUGGGCCUUCAAAAGCCUAUAAAACACUAUACAACUUUCAGCAACGGAUCUCUUGGCUCUC